rnacentral:rRNA from 1 species
UGACUGGAGUUCAGACGUGUGCUCUUCCGAUCUUGAAUCCAUAUGACUUGCCGCCUUCGGGUGGCCGGCGUGUGGUGGAUGCGUGGGACCUGAUCUGGUAGUAGCCAAGCGAUGGGGUGACGCAGGAAGGUAGCUGGGCCAGUCAGUGGUUGUACUGGUGUAAGCCUGUAGGGCGAACGGUAGGCAAAUCCGCCGUUCUUCAAGCCUGAGAGGUGAUGCGUAGCCGAUUGAGGCGAAUUCAGUGAUCCUAUGCUGCCGAGAAAAGCCUCUAGUGAGUUGUUACACGGCCCGUACCCCAAACCGACACAGGUGGUCAGGUAGAGAAUACUAAGGCGAUCGAGAUAACUAUGGUUAAGGAACUCGGCAAAAUGCCCCCGUAACUUCGGGAGAAGGGGGGCCCCUGCCGGUGAUCACUCUUGCAGUGUGAGCUGGUGUGGGCCGCAGAGACCAGUGAGAAGCGACUGUUUACUAAAAACACAGGUCCGUGCGAAGUCGUAAGACGAUGUAUACGGACUGACGCCUGCCCGGUGCUGGAAGGUUAAGAGGACCGGUUAGCCGCAAGGCGAAGCUGAGAAUUUAAGCCCCAGUAAACGGCGGUGGUAACUAUAACCAUCCUAAGGUAGCGAAAUUCCUUGUCGGGUAAGUUCCGACCUGCACGAAUGGCGUAACGACUUCCCAACUGUCUCAACCGCGAACUCGGCGAAAUUGCAUUACGAGUAAAGAUGCUCGUUACGCGCAGCAGGACGGAAAGACCCCGGGACCUUUACUAUAGUUUGGUAUUGGUGAUUGGGACGGUUUGUGUAGGAUAGGUGGGAGACGUUGAUGCGGCCACGCUAGUGGUGGUGGAGUCGUUGGUGAAAUACCACUCUGAUUGUUCUGGUUAUCUCACUGUGGACCGUGAUCCGGUUCAAGGACAGUGCCUGAUGGGUAGUUUGACUGGGGCGGUCGCCUCCUAAAGGGUAACGGAGGCGCCCAAAGGUUCCCUCAGCCUGGUUGGUAAUCAGGUGGUGAGUGUAAGUGCACAAGGGGGCUUGACUGUGAGACUGACAGGUCGAGCAGGGACGAAAGUCGGGACUAGUGAUCUGACGGUGGCUUGUGGAUGCGCCGUCACUCAACGGAUAAAAGGUACCCCGGGGAUAACAGGCUGAUCUUGCCCGAGCGCUCAUAGCGACGGCAUGGUUUGGCACCUCGAUGUCGGCUCGUCGCAUCCUGGGGCUGGAGUCGGUCCCAAGGGUUGGGCUGUUCGCCCAUUAAAGCGGCACGCGAGCUGGGUUCAGAACGUCGUGAGACAGUUCGGUCCCUAUCCGCUGCGCGCGGAGGAAUCUUGAGAAGGGCUGUCUUUAGUACGAGAGGACCGAGACGGACUGACCUCUGGUGUGCCAGUUGUUCUGCCAAGAGCAUGGCUGGUUGGCUACGUCGGGUUGUGAUAACCGCUGAAAGCAUCUAAGCGGGAAGCACGCUUCAAGAUAAGGGUUCCCACAGGAGUGUUCCUGGUAAGGUCCCCGAGAGAUGAUCGGGUUGAUAGGCCAGACGUGGACGCAUCGUAAGGUGUGGAGCUGACUGGUACUAAUAGACCGAGGACUUUCAUUA